UGCCUUCCAUGCCAUUUAAAGGUCUGAGUGAGGAGGUUAAGCUUUAUUAUUCGUUAGUUGUGUAUUUUCGAAGUUACUUAGCUAUCAUUUAGCUUUUUGCAUUGAGAUUUAGCUAAUUAUUGAUACAAAACGACCGAGGUGGCGGCCGGCCCGUCCCUAUUUAUCAACCUAACCUACCUUAUUUCUCACUUUUAUAGCCCUGUCUUGACUCAACAUGCAGCCGCGUCACUAAGCUUUCACAUCCAGCGUUCAGAGUCAGCCACUCUGGCCAGGUUUGUGUAUGGUGAAGGGUUUUAUGUGAGGCAGAGGGGGGGGACCCACCCGGCAACAGACCCCGCCGCCAUCAUGCAUUCCUCGUUUAUUAGCCUUUUCUUGCCUUGUAUCUCAAUAUUAUAGCCCUGUCUUACCACAACAUGUUGCCGCGCCCCUAAGCUUUCCUAUCCAGCAUUGAGACACAGCCGCCAUGGCCAGGUUCAAGUUUGGUGAAGGUUUAAGUGAUGUACAAGAGGGGGUCAACCCCUUCACAGAUCCGCCGCCAUCUUGGAUAUGCCUAUCCCGGCUCCGCGACCUGCCCAGAAUCCAGGAUUAUUAUUUUGUUUUAUUCCUGGAUAGUUUAUUUGAGGUCAAUAGUAAGAUUUGAUGGUUUCUACAAGUGUUGCGUUGUGUUUGAAGUGUUUUCCGUGCGUGUAUGAGGUGCUGCAUGUUGUUGUUGGCGUUAUUUUUGUGUUAAAUAAGGGCGCAUUUUGGCGCCAAAUUUUCAGGAACGUCCAGGGAAAAUUUUUGUUUGAGCCAGUAUCAAGUUGUUAUUGUUUUCAAAAAAUAGUUGAUGUGUUUUUAAGCGUUACGCUUUCCUAUUUAGUGUAAUUAAUGGAGAGUAGAUUUGUUUCUAAAGGAGUUAAUGUUCCAACAAUAGUUUUGUUGGUACCCCUGUGAAUUAUUUAUUUUUGCCUCUAACUCACUCUAAAGUGUUGGAAAAGACUCUUCAUAUUUACUAAAGUGUGUUUCGUUCCUUUGAAGUGAGAAUGGGGAGGCAUUUUAAAAUUUGUAAGGGGGGUCAAGGUUCCAACAUUUUAUUUAUAGUUCUUUUGAAAAAUCUCUGAUAUUACUAGGAUUUGGAAUCUCUUUAUAUUUUUGAUGUUAGUUAAAGUAUGUGCCAAAUCAGAAUAUGUAAAGCAUUUGGGUCUGGCGGCGUUUUUCCGAGGAGUCAUUUUCAAAAUGAUUUGUGUAACGUAUAUAAUCCCGCCAAGCGGGCCGGGCCAGACCAGGGCCGUGACGUCAUCAGCCAGGCAGUGACGUCAUCAGCCAGCGACCCCCACCGGGCAGUGACGUCACGAUGGCCGGAACCUCCCAGCUGCCUUGCCUUCCUGGCUCUCUUCGUCUAUAUGUAGCAUGAUUUACUGUGUUAUACGUGUGUGUGUGUGUGUGUGUGUGUGUGUGUGUGUGUGUGUGUGUGUGUGUGUGUGUGUGUGUGUGUUCUACUUUCAAACACAUGUACUCUCAUUAAUUUUUAUUUCAAUAGUAGAAUUUCUUUUAGUUUAUUUAUUUAUUUAUUUAUUGUUCAUUAAGUGUUAUGUCCAAUUCUGUUCUAAUUCUUAUUGUUUGUAUGAUUAUUGUACACGUGUGUGUGUGUGUGUGUGUGUGUGUGUGUGUGUGUGUGUGUGUGUGUGCAGUGAGUCAUUACAACAAAUAACAUAUCCUGUACAAAGUUGGACCUCGCGAGAAAACCACCCAAGAACUAGCGUAGAAAAACAAUUAUAAUCUGUUACCACACUGACGGGGUAGAAGAGGAGGAGGUGGAGGUGGCAGGUGCUGGCAUGACCUUUUGGGAGAGUUAAAGGACUUAUAUGAGGCUAAAAGAAAACUGU